UAGGUUUGUCCUAAGUCAAACUUCUUUAAGUUUGACCAUGUAUACAAAAAUAUAUUAACAUCUACAACAUCAAAUUUAUAUAACAUGAAAUAUAUUUUAUGAUGAAUCUAAUGAAACUAAUUUGAUGUUGUAGAUGUUGGUAUAUUUUUCAAUAAAUUUGGUUAAACAUAAAGAUGCUUGACUUAAGAUAAACCUAG
rfam:Triticum aestivum genome assembly, contig: Triticum_aestivum_CS42_TGACv1_scaffold_579297_7BL